rnacentral:lncRNA from 10 species
GGAAUCUAGAUGUUCAUCUUUUCCUUUGUGAAGUCCAUACUGUGUGCAAGAUCCAUGGUUAAGAUGAUAGAGGGAGUGGGCUUAGGUCUCAUCCUAUGAGCUUGUGCUGAUUUGCUGAUUUACAUAUCUCCACUGGCGAAAAUCAUAUCUGUUCCUUAGGUCCAAUUUUCAAGUUCCAAGCAUUGGCAGUGUGACCACAAAUAUCUAUGAUCUGAUGCUUUAUUUGAUUUUUGUGUGUUUGUUUUAAUGGAAGUGUAGAAAGGGAGGGAAGAAGGGAGGGGAAUAUUUGAUUUGCUGUCUAGCCAACACAAUUCUAAAAAGCAUUAAGUGGAAACUGCUACAAGUGUUUAUUUUCUAACUCUUUCUGGUAUAAUGGGAACAGUCAAGAUCUGAACAAGAGUCGAUAUAAGGUUUGCGGUUUAUGAUAAGCAUAUCAGCCAGUGGAUAGACUAAACCCCAGUGACAGCUGUGAUGGUUCUUGGAAUCAGACAUCCUUCAAUAACAUGUUUCCCCAAAGCUUAUAGACAUUGUUGUAGAAUAGGGUCAAGGCUUAUGGCAGAUGUUGAAUGUCUCUGAGCUAUAUGAAAUUUCUCUCUGUGGAUUCGUGCCUAACAACCAUUACAUCAAACCACAGGUACAAUGAAGCCCAUUUUCCUUUUUGACGUGAUACUGUUGUUAUUUUAGAGGCAAAGCCUUAUGCUAUUGCUAGCUGAAAAAGACACUAAAAGCCAAAAGAGUGCAGGCACAGAAUUGGGAACAAUUGGGCUAUAGUGACCAUGAAAACAUAAAGCAAUGAUUUUACCCAGCACAAACCAUGUAGGUCAUUACAGUAUGGUGUCUUGGAACAAGGACACCUAAAAUAACAAUGAUCAUUGCUUAAAAAAAUUAAUUUUGUGGAAAUUCUUAUAAUGUUAACAUACUUCAUAGAUAUGAUUCUACCCAACUGUGACCUUUGUUAUGAUAGCAAAUGAUCAUUUUUUUCAUAGAAAAAGAAAACUCGACUGCUUAAUUGAUUGAUUCAUUAAAAGAAAUCUUGUAAUUGAACUAUCAUGCCAAGUUUACUAUGAGCAUCUGAUAAAAGAAAGUAAGAUGAUAAACAGCAACGGGUCAGAUGGCUUCCAAAUAUCAGUGAACGUCCAUAAUACCUAUUGAACUACUUGUAAUUCAUCAAUAAAUACUGGAUGGAUAGAAAUACCCUUGGUAAUGUGGAUAAAGUUAAAGGAAGUAAAAGUAAAAUUUCUGUACUCACUAGGCAUUCUUGGAAAAACUAAAUUUAUUUUAAGAAUAGUAACAGGAAAAUUGUAAGAAAAUACUAAGAAACAAAAAUUACAGGGCUGACUCAAAUUAUUAAUAAUGUUAAUAUAUAAAGCUGCCAUCUUAAUAGUUUAUAAAAAUGUUAUAUGUUAUCUCAUUUUAUAAGCACAAUAAUAAAAUGACUUGCCUCUCAUCAAUAUCAUACUCCUAUCAGAUCCUGGGUGAUAAUCCUAUCUUCCCGCCACCAGAGUACUCUUCUUUCCACACUUUUCUAUCAGUGAGCGACAGAAAAAAUUUAGAAAAGUUCAGUAGAAAAAUACACCUGAAAUUUGAUUACAGGAUGUAAAUGCCUUUGACCCUGAAUAUCAGAUAUGAUUUGCUCUCCAGGAUUUGUUGACCUUUGGUGGAAAAUAAUCUACCAGACCUUGUGAAGAACCAGGAGAAGGGUAACAGACAUCUAGCUGCUUGAUUCUAGUUCCAUUAAAGACUACUUCAAGGAGGAAGAAGAGUUUUCCUGAAAAUUGGCCAGAGGCCCCAGUUCACAGAAGUCCCUUUGCAGGUUGGCCUCUUUGUCUCCUACAUGGAAGGAAACUAUCAUCAUGUGUCCUCAAACCCCUGCAAUCCUGUCACUUUGCAAGAUGUAUCUAGCAGUUACCAAAAAAAAAAAAAAUGAAAUGGAUAUUCUACAAACUGCUAGAGAACAGAUGUCUUGAAUAGGCAAGACAAUACUCACAUGAUAUAUGGUUUACUUUUUCCUGAUGCGUUGUUUUGUUUUUGGUUCAGCGAAUAAAACAUACAUUCUCCUACGCGCAUUCUCAAGGACCAGAAGCAUUAUUUUAAAAAGUUCCUCCCAGGCUGGGCACAGUGGCUCACACCUGUAACCCCAGUACGUUGGGAGGCCAAGGCAGGUGGAUCACUUGAAGUCAGGAGUUCGAGACCAGCCUGACCAACAUGGUGAAACCCCGUCUCUACUAAAAAUACAAAAAUUAGCUGGGCAUGGUGGCACACACUUGUAAUCCCAGCUGCUUACGA